rnacentral:rRNA from 1 species
UUUAAGAGUUUUGAUCAUGGCUCAGAUUGAACGCUGGCGGCAGGCCUAACACAUGCAAGUCGAGCGGCAGCGGAAAGUAGCUUGCUACUUUGCCGGCGAGCGGCGGACGGGUGAGUAAUGUCUGGGAAACUGCCUGAUGGAGGGGGAUAACUACUGGAAACGGUAGCUAAUACCGCAUAACGUCGCAAGACCAAAGAGGGGGACCUUCGGGCCUCUUGCCAUCAGAUGUGCCCAGAUGGGAUUAGCUAGUAGGUGGGGUAACGGCUCACCUAGGCGACGAUCCCUAGCUGGUCUGAGAGGAUGACCAGCCACACUGGAACUGAGACACGGUCCAGACUCCUACGGGAGGCAGCAGUGGGGAAUAUUGCACAAUGGGCGCAAGCCUGAUGCAGCCAUGCCGCGUGUAUGAAGAAGGCCUUCGGGUUGUAAAGUACUUUCAGCGGGGAGGAAGGCGAUAAGGUUAAUAACCUUGUCGAUUGACGUUACCCGCAGAAGAAGCACCGGCUAACUCCGUGCCAGCAGCCGGCGGUUAUUAAA